rnacentral:rRNA from 1 species
UGCACUUUCCAAGUAAGUGGCGAACGGGUGAGUAACACGUGAAUAACCUACCUCAAAGUCUGGGAUAACCAUUGGAAACAGUGACUAAUACCGGAUAAAACCCAAGUGCACAUGCACUAAGGUUAAAAGCUGCGUUUGCAGCGCUUUAAGAUGGAUUCGCGGUGCAUUAGUUAGUUGGUGAGGUAAAGGCUCACCAAGACGAUGAUGCAUAGCCGAGUUGAGAGACUGACCGGCCACAUUGGGACUGAGACACGGCCCAAACUCCUACGGGAGGCUGCAGUAGGGAAUCUUCCACAAUGGGCGCAAGCCUGAUGGAGCAACGCCGCGUGUGUGAUGAAGGCUUUCGGGUCGUAAAGCACUGUUGUAUGGGAAGAACGGGUUUAAGAGGAAAUGCUUAAACAGUGACGGUACCAUACCAGAAAGGGACGGCUAAAUACGUGCCAGCAGCCGCGGUAAUACGUAUGUCCCGAGCGUUAUCCGGAUUUAUUGGGCGUAAAGCGAGCGCAGACGGUUGCUUAAGUCUGAAGUGAAAGCCCACAGCUCAACUGUGGAAUGGCUUUGGAAACUGGGCAACUUGAGUGCAGUAGAGGUAAGUGGAACUCCAUGUGUAGCGGUGGAAUGCGUAGAUAUAUGGAAGAACACCAGUGGCGAAGGCGGCUUACUGGACUGCAACUGACGUUGAGGCUCGAAAGUGUGGGUAGCAAACAGGAUUAGAUACCCUGGUAGUCCACACCGUAAACGAUGGAUACUAGUUGUUAGAGGGUUUCCGCCCUUUAGUGACGAAGCAAACGCAUUAAGUAUCCCGCCUGGGGAGUACGACCGCAAGGUUGAAACUCAAAGGAAUUGACGGGGACCCGCACAAGCGGUGGAGCAUGUGGUUUAAUUCGAAGCAACGCGAAGAACCUUACCAGGUCUUGACAU